CCAACAGCGGUGUCAGCCAUGCAAGGCGCCAUCCAGCUCGUCGGGAGCAGCUGGGGUUAGGUGUCUUGCUCAUGGACACCUCGACACUUGGUCAGGUGGAACCAGGGAUUGAACCACCAACCUUCUGGUUUGUAGACAAUCUACAUGAACCACUGAGCCACUGCCGCCC